rnacentral:lncRNA from 1 species
GAGGCUCAGCGAGCUCUUGCUUACCUUCCCAGCACAGCUGCAAGGUCAUAAGAUUGAUAAGUAUAUGUUACAGAGCAUGUAUUCCCAAGGAUGUAAGACAUGAAGUAACAAAUAACUGCCUUUGCUCUCGCUUCUGUAAGUAUGCUUCCUGCAUCACGUAGCUCCGGGCCACUGACUGCUUAAAACGUGGCUGCUUUCUUUGUCCAGGACUCAGACUUUCCUGGACGCUAGUCCAAUUGAGCCAGCCUGCCUGCACCCAGGUGAAGUAAACAGCCUUGUUGCUCACAUAAAGCCUGUUUGGUGGACUCUCUUCACAUGGACGCUCGUGAGAAAUUUGGUGCCAAAGACCCGGGUCAGAGGGACUCUUUCAGGAGACCAGUCUCCUGUCCUCGCCCUCACUCCAUGAAGAGAUCCACCUAUGACCUUGGAUCCUCAGACCAACCAGCCCAAGGAACAUCUCACCAAUUUCAAAUCGGGACCCCACUGGAAAUUGGAUUGUCCAACUGGCCCAAGGCUCUGACUGACUCCUUCCCAGAUCUUCUCUGCUUAGCGGCUGAAGACUGA